rnacentral:rRNA from 1 species
GGGGGGGGGGGGGGGGGGGGGGGGGGGGGGGGGGGGGGGCGGUGGAGGAGGGGCUUGCGCUUCGGGGGGGGUUGCGAACGGGUGAGUAAGGCGUAGGUAACCUGCCUGGUAGCGGGGGAUAACUGGUGGAAACGAUAGCUAGGACCGCCUCACAGUAGCUGUUGCAUGACAUUUACUUAAACGGUGCAAUUGCAUCACUCCCAGAUGGACCUGCGUUGUAUUAGCUAGUUGGUUGGGUAACGGCUCACCCAGGCGACGAUACAUAGCCGACCUGAGAGGGUGAUCGGCCACACUGGGACUGAUACACGGCCCAGACUCCUACGGGAGGCAGCAGUAGGGAAUCUUCGGCAAUGGACGGAAGUCUGACCGAGCAACGCCGCGUGAGUGAAGAAGGUUUUCGGAUCGUAAAGCUCUGUUGUAAGAGAAGAACGAGUGUGAGAGUGGAAAGUUCACACUGUGACGGUAUCUUACCAGAAAGAGACGGCUAACUACGUG